rnacentral:rRNA from 1 species
UACGGGGGGGCAAGCGUUGUUCGGAAUUACUGGGCGUAAAGGGCUCGUAGGUGGCCAACUAAGUCAGACGUGAAAUCCCUCGGCUUAACCGGGGAACUGCGUCUGAUACUGGAUGGCUUGAGUUUGGGAGAGGGAUGCGGAAUUCCAGGUGUAGCGGUGAAAUGCGUAGAUAUCUGGAGGAACACCGGUGGCGAAGGCAGCCUCCUGGGCCAGCACUGACGCUCAUGCACGAAAGCGUGGGGAGCGAACAGG